rfam:Loxodonta africana unplaced genomic scaffold scaffold_18, whole genome shotgun sequence.
GCAUUGGUGGUUCAGUGAUAGAAUUCUCACCUUCCAUGUGGGAGAACCGGGUUCAAUUCCCAGUCAAUGAA